rnacentral:rRNA from 1 species
CCCUACGGGGCGCAGCAGUGGGGAAUAUUGCACAAUGGGGGAAACCCUGAUGCAGCGACGCCGCGUGAGUGAAGAAGUAUUUCGGUAUGUAAAGCUCUAUCAGCAGGGAAGAAGAAAGACGGUACCUGACUAAGAAGCCCCGGCUAACUACGUGCCAGCAGCCGCGGUAAUACGUAGGGGGCAAGCGUUAUCCGGAUUUACUGGGUGUAAAGGGAGCGUAGACGGCUGUGCAAGUCUGCAGUGAAAGCCCAGGGCUCAACCCUGGGCCUGCUUUGGAA